AGAGGAGGAUCUACACAAGUUUUUUACAUCAUGUUUUACAUCAUGCAUCAUUUACAUCAUGUUUUUUUGUAGUGGCAUAAAUAAAAAGUGACAUUUGUGAGACUAUACAGUGUUUUGUAAAUAAUUUUACAAAGAACACCUGGGCCAUUGCCUGCAUUUUGAUGUCAAUAGAGGUAAAUUACUAUGUUCUUUGUUAAAAAUUUGCAUAUGUUUUGAAGUUUACAAUUUUUAUUUGAAGUUUAAGUUUUAAAAACAGUUCAUCACACAUAUUUGUGGUUUUCACAGUAAAAACGUUACUUUUUUCCACUCGGAUUUUAUGUUUUGUGUGUGAAUUUGGGUCCAAUGUGUAAAUAUAGUAUGUCAAAAUGAUAAAAUAACUGUAAAUUGACACAGGUGAGGUUGUGCUGAAAAAAAUGAUACCAGGCAAGGCAAGGUAAAAAUUUUGUAAGAGGAAAUAUAAAGGUAAAAUCUAAAGUAGUCAAAAACGGCCAAUAGUGACUCACAGACUCCACAGACAAGUCCCUUUGCCGCCACUCAGUGGGCAAAACUACUUUGUCUACUGUAAUGUAUAUUUGGGUCAUCUUUGGCGCCCCCUAAAACGUAAACCGUGGGGUGCAGCGUCAUGAUUUUUACAACUUUGAAUGGCCAUGGAGUGUAGAUUGGCCUGAGCAAAUUUGGUGUCAGUGGGACGAAAGCCUUAGGAGGAGUUAGCGAAAUUCCAAUGUGUGCGAAUCGGCAAAAAAUGCAAAAUAGCCCUUUUACCGUACAUUAUACAGAUACACGCUCUUUGACUUUUUCGUAGAUCUAAUUGAGAUACACAUGAUUGUCAAUUUUUGUGUCAUUUUGCCAAAGCGUACAGGCGUGACAGUCAACAAUGUGUAUUUUCACCUUAGGGGACAAGAAAAAAUGGACUUUUUUCUCCUGCCAUGGGGGGGCGCUCUUUUGGGGAGUAAAAAUUCCUUCACAAAUGUGUUGAUGGCUGGACAUUGCAUCAUCCUAGAAAACUUGGAGGCCAGUGAGGACAAAAAUAAAAAGUUAUAAGACUUUUAAAAAUGUGGAUUUUUGGGUUAUCUUUGGCGCCCCCUAGAACGUAAACCGUGGGGUGCAGCGUCAUGAUUUGAAUAACUUUUAAUGGCCAUGGGGUGUAGAUUGGCCUGAGCAAAUGUGGUGCCGGUGGAACGAAAGCCUUCGGAGGAGUUAGCGAAAUUCCAAUGUGUGCGAAUCGGCAAAAAAUGCGGAAUAACCCUUUAACCGUACAUUAGACAGAUACGCGCGCAUGGACUUUUUUGUAGAUCUUAUUGAGAUACAUGUGUGUGUCAAUUUUUGUGUCAUUUUGACAAAGCGUACAGGCGUGACACUCAACAAUGUGUAUUUUCACCUUAGGGGACAAGAAAAAAAUGGACUUUUUUCUCCUGCCAUGGGGGGGCGCUCUUUUGGGGAGUAAAAAUUCCUUCACAAAUGUGUUGAUGGCUGGACAUUGCAUCAUCCUAGAAAACUUGGAGGCCAGUGAGGGCAAAAAUAAAAAGUUAUAAGACUUUUAAAAAUGUGGAUUUUAGGGUUAUCUUUGGCGCCCCCUAGAACCUAAACCGUGGGGUGCAGCGUCAUGAUUUGAAUAAAUUUUAAUGGCCAUGGGGUGUAGAUUGGCCUGAGCAAAUGUGGUGCCGGUGGAACGAAAGCCUUCGGAGGAGUUAGUGAAAUUCCAAUGUGUGCGGAUCGGCAAAAAAUGCGAAAUAACCCUUUAACCGUACAUUUGACAGAUACGCCCGCGCUGACUUUUUUGUAGAUCUUAUUGAGAUACAUGUGUGUGUCAAUUUUUGUGUCAUUUUGACAAAGCGUACAGGCGUGACAGUCAAUAGUGUGAAUUUUCACCUUAGGGGGCGCUAUGGAGCCAUUUUGCAUUUUCUUGUUUGGGCGACUUUGGAAUAUCAAAUUUUUCACCAGGCCCGGUCGUCCUGCCAAAUUUCCUGAGUUUUCGCCAGUGGGAAGUGGGCCAUUUUCCAGUUCAAAGGGGAGGAAAAAGAAGAAAGAAAGAAACUAGGGCCCCGUUGGGGCACUGGCGGGCCCGAGCCGUGUCGCGCUGCCCCCCCCAACGCGCUGCCUCCCCGUCCCAUUCGCGUCCUCUGGCCAUCGUCCUCUCUGGUAACGCCCAUCACUGCAAAGACCCUUUCCUUCAUCGGCGUUUGCUGUUCUUCCUGCCAGUGCGUGUUGCUUUCACUUACACUUGCCACAGCCAGCCUCGUGAGUGCCUAGCCUAUUGGAUAUCACUGUCAUCUACACAGGACAGUCAUAACCUUUCUAUUAAUACUUUGUUUUUUAAUUUCACAUUAAUUUCCAUAUUGUAUAAAUGACUGGAAAAAACUUGAGCCCCUGCCCCUGUAUAAUCAUGUGCACGUCCCUGUUCUAGCUCCAAGGUGAAUCUUCACUGCUCAUGUUCUCCUCAGAAAUAGUCACCUCACUCCCCUCAGGUUACUGUACACAUGCACCAACUAUCUGCUUCAGGUUUGGAUGGAGCUUCAUGGUUGUCUUUUGGAGAAAUGACCAGUCAAGUUGUGUUUGAAAUUUGAUUUUUUUCAGGGGCAAAAGGAAGCCUCUGCAUUCUUGUCAAAUAUGUAAACAGCAUGUUUUUGCAGGUGCUAAAAAACAGACUCUGAGUGUGUGUGUGUGUGUGUGUGUGUGUGUGUGUGUGUGUGUGUUGGCGUGUGUGUACAUGUGUGUGUAUCCUGCAGUACUCUGUACUCCUGCAGUGGCCAAAAAGACUUUUAAGAAUGUGGAUUUUUGGGUCAUCUUUGGCGCCCCCUAGAACUGCAGUACUCUGUACUCCUGCAGUGGCCAAAAUGACUUUUAAGAAUGUGGAUUUUUGGGUCAUCUUUGGCGCCCCCUAGAACGUAAACCGUGGGGUGCAGCGUCAUGAUUUUUACAACUUUGAAUGGGCAUGGGGUGUAGAUUGCCCUGAGCAAAUUUGGUAUCAGUGGGACGAAAGCCUUAGGAGGAGAUAGCCACAUUCCAAUGUGUGCGAAUCGGCAAAAAAUGCGAAAUAGCCCUUUAACCGUACAUUAUACAGAUACGCGCUCUUUGACUUUUUCGUAGAUCUAAUUGAGAUACACAUGAUUGUCAAUUUUUGUGUCAAUAUGACAAAGCGUUCAGGCGUGACACUCAACAAUGUGUAUUUUCAUGUAAGGGGACAAGAAAAAAUUGACUUUUUUCUCCUGCCAUGGGGGGCGCUCUUUUGGGGAGUAAAAAUUCCUUCACAAAUGUGUUGAUGGCUGGACAUUGCAUCAUCCUAGAAAACUUGGAGGGCAGUGAGGACAAAAAUAAAAAGUUAUAAGACUUUUAAGAAUGUGGAUUUUUGGGUUAUCUUUGGCGCCCCCUAGAACCUAAACCGUGGGGUGCAGCGUCAUGAUUUGUACAACUUUUAAUGGCCAUGGGGUGUAGACUGGCCUGAGCAAAUGUGGUGCCGGUGGAACGAAAGCCUUCGGAGGAGUUAGCGAAAUUCCAAUGUGUGCGGAUCGGCAAAAAAUGCGAAAUAACCCUUUAACCGUACAUUUGACAGAUACGCCCGCACUGACUUUUUUGUAGAUCUUAUUGAGAUACAUAUGUGUGUCAAUUUUUGUGUCAAUAUGACAAAACGUACAGACGUGACAGUCAAUAGUGUGAAUUUCCACCUUAGGGGGCGCUAUGGAGCCAUUUUGCAUUUUCUUGUUUGGGCGACUACAAAAUAUCGAAUUUUUCACCAGGCCCGGUCGUCCUGCCAAAUUUCAUGAGUUUUCGCCAGUGGGAAGUGGGCCAUUUUCCAGUUUAAAGCGGAGGAAAAAUAACUAGGGCCCCGUUGGGGCACUGGCGGGCCCGAGCCGUGUCGCGCCGCCCCCAGCGCGACCGCCUACCCCUCCCGAUCGCGU